GACGAACGCUGGCGGCGUGCUUAACACAUGCAAGUCGAACGGAAAGGCCCUGCUUGCAGGGUACUCGAGUGGCGAACGGGUGAGUAACACGUGGGUGAUCUGCCCUGCACUUCGGGAUAAGCCUGGGAAACUGGGUCUAAUACCGGAUAGGAGCCAUUUUUAGUGUGAUGGUUGGAAAGUUUUUUCGGUGUAGGAUGAGCUCGCGGCCUAUCAGCUUGUUGGUGGGGUAAUGGCCUACCAAGGCGGCGACGGGUAGCCGGCCUGUGAGGGUGGACGGCCACAUUGGGACUGAGAUACGGCCCAGACUCCUACGGGAGGCAGCAGUGGGGAAUAUUGCACAAUGGGCGCCAGCCUGAUGCAGCGACGCCGCGUGGGGGAUGACGGCCUUCGGGUUGUAAACUCCUUUCGCUAGGGACGAAGCUUUUUGUGACGGUACCUAGAUAAGAAGCACCGGCUAACUACGUG
rnacentral:rRNA from 1 species